AGUGAACGCUGGCGGCAUGCCUAACACAUGCAAGUCGAACGGCAACACGGUGAGCGUUCGCUCCUAACGGUGGCGGCGGGCGGAUGAGUAAGGAAUGCAUAGGAUACUACUUAUUCGGGGGGAACAACGUGGGGCAACAUCCGAUACUAGCUCAUACGUCGUACCGGAGAGAUCAGGAGUGCUACGCGGCUUGCCCGACUCUAUGAGCUGGUGUCGGAUUAGCUAGUUGGUGGGGUAAAGGCCCACCAAGGCGACGAUCCGUAGCUGGUCUGAGAGGAUGAUCAGCCACACUGGAACUGAGACACGGUCCAGACUCCUACGGGAGGCAGCAGUGGGGAAUAUUGGACAAUGGGCGCAAGCCUGAUCCAGCCAUGCCGCGUGAGUGAUGAAGGCCUUCGGGUUGUAAAGCUCUUUUGUUGGGAAAGAAAAGCAGCGUAAGAAUACAUCGACGUCCUGACGGUACCCAAAGAAUAAGCACCGGCUAACUACGUG
rnacentral:rRNA from 1 species